rnacentral:rRNA from 1 species
ACCUGAUCCAGCCAUGCCGCGUGUGUGAAGAAGGCCUUUUGGUUGUAAAGCACUUUAAGCGAGGAGGAGGCUACCGAGAUUAAUACUCUUGGAUAGUGGACGUUACUCGCAGAAUAAGCACCGGCUAACUCUGUGCCAGCAGCCGCGGUAAUACAGAGGGUGCAAGCGUUAAUCGGAUUUACUGGGCGUAAAGCGCGCGUAGGUGGCCAAUUAAGUCAAAUGUGAAAUCCCCGAGCUUAACUUGGGAAUUGCAUUCGAUACUGGUUGGCUAGAGUAUGGGAGAGGAUGGUAGAAUUCCAGGUGUAGCGGUGAAAUGCGUAGAGAUCUGGAGGAAUACCGAUUGCGAAGGCAGAAA